rnacentral:rRNA from 1 species
CAGUCGCCACGGUAACACGGAGGGAGCUAGCGUUGUUCGGAAUUACUGGGCGUAAAGCGCACGUAGGCGGCUUUGUAAGUUAGAGGUGAAAGCCUGGAGCUCAACUCCAGAACUGCCUUUAAGACUGCAUCGCUUGAAUCCAGGAGAGGUGAGUGGAAUUCCGAGUGUAGAGGUGAAAUUCGUUGAGAUCGGAAAGAACACCAACGGCGAAAGCACUCUGCUGGGCCGACACUGACACUGAGAGACGAAAGCGUGGGUAGCAAACAGGAUUAGAUACCCCUGUAGUCCCUGUCUCUUAUAC